rnacentral:rRNA from 1 species
GACGAACGCUGGCGGCGUGCUUAACACAUGCAAGUCGAACGGAGUGGCGAACGGGUGAGUAACACGUGGGUGAUCUGCCUUGCACUUCGGGAUAAGCUUGGGAACCUUGGCCUAAACCCCGUUAGUGUAAGAUGAGCUCGCGGCCUAUUGGCUUGUUGGUGGGGUAAUGGCUUACCAAGGCGGCGACGGGUAGCCGGCCUUAGAGGGUGUACGGCCACAGUGGGCCUGAGAGACGGCCCAGACGCCUACGGGGGGCAGCAGUGGGGAACAUUGUGCAAUCGGGGGAAGCGUGAUGCAGAGACGCCGGGUGGGGAAUGAAGGCCUUCGGGUGGUAAAGUCCUUGAGGCAGGGACGCGGUACCUGUAUAAGAAGCACCGGCUAACUACGUGCCAGCAGCCGCGGUAAUAC